AACAAACGCUGGCGGCGUGCCUAAUACAUGCAAGUCGAACGAAGAAAUCUCUUCGGAGAGAGUAAGAGUGGCGCACGGGUGAGUAACGCGUGGAUAAUCUGCCCUGGAGUGGGGAACAACCUAUCGAAAGGUAGGCUAAUACCGCAUAAGACUACAGAAGCUGCGGCUUCAGUGGUCAAAGAUUUAUCGCUCCUGGAUGAGUCCGCGUAAGAUUAGCUUGUUGGUGAGGUAAUGGCUCACCAAGGCUUCGAUCUUUAACUGGUUUGAGAGGAUGAUCAGUCACACUGGAACUGAGACACGGUCCAGACUCCUACGGGAGGCAGCAGUAGGGAAUAUUGCGCAAUGGGGGCAACCCUGACGCAGCGACGCCGCGUGUGUGAUGAAGGCUUUAGGGUCGU
rnacentral:rRNA from 1 species